rnacentral:lncRNA from 1 species
AUAUUAUAUUAUUGUUAAAUUGGAUCCGUAAACCAGUUUGAGUCUUCAAACCCAGAUGAAAAACCUGUAAACCAAAUGAAAAUCGGACUAAACCUUUAAUUUGGACCAAAUCCGGUUCAGGUCGAACCAGAUUACCCUAGAUAGACGAAGAAUACUUUUUUUUAUUCUUAUUCUUCCUUCUUUCUCUUGUUUUGGCGGCAGACUGCCUGUCUCUUUCUCUUCGAUUUUCCAGCCAUCACUUUGGCCAGCCGGCGUUGACUUUCCUUCAUCGCCGCCUUUCUUUUCAUUUCCGGUGGACGCAGCAGUCAGGCGAGCUGCAGUCUCUCCUCUCUGCGAACGGCGCAGCAGUGCCUCCAUUCAUUUCCGACAAUACUAGGCGACCGGUCACUUGAGGCUUUGAAGUGACUCUCGAUGGACUCAACUCCUCAAUGCGAAUAUUUCCCCUCCAUUAAUUUCGGUGUUUGGCCCAGUUUUAUGAAUCCGCCAUGAAUGACGGCGUUGAAGUGACUGUCGGUGUGAUUUGCAGCUAAAGAGCUCAUUUAUUCUACAAACUGAGGCUGGAUAUGGACUCCUGGUGAAAAUCCAAUUUGCUCAGUUGCUUCAUCUAUCGAAGUCGAUUAUCCAACCACCGUGAGCGGUAGUCUCCGGCGAGAUCCCAGCAGGCAGAAACUUAAAGAAUUUUACACUGAACUUGAAUCCGAAAUCCGAUUAUUAAUUGGUAUAAUUUAAGAUUCAGUUUACUAAAUUUAAUGUAAAUUUUAAAUUUAGAAAUGAUUGUUAUUGGGUUGAAUUAAUUUUGAUUAAAGUAAUUAAGGAUUAAGUAUAAGAUAUGGACUUUAUUAAAUUGGACCAAAUUAUAAUUACUACCAUGUAAAUAAGUUGCGG